UUUCUGAAAUUCUGAAUGGAUUUGCGAGGUGGUUGUUGAUGUUAUGCGAUCUUGAGAUUGAAAGAUUAAGGCGUGUUGAAGUUGUUGCUUGAGGGUUGAAGGAUGAAGAUAGCGGAGAGUUGAGGAUUGAAGGUUUAGCUCAACCGUUCAGAGCUUCCAUUGAUGAAGCUCUGACAGUUAUGAAUUCCUGAGCUUUAGUUAGGUUAGGGAGAUGAAGGCAAUGGUGAAGAUUGAGAGAGAGAAUUUGAGAGAGAGUGAUGAAAUGGAUGAAAGAUGAAUGGUGCGUGUGUAUACAAAAAUGGUGGAGGGGGUGGUCAACCUUGAAUGAAGGUGAUGAGGUUUGAAUAUAUAGAGAUUGAGAGGGAGAAAGAGUUAGUUAGAGAGGAGUUUGAGAUUCUGAGCCAUUGGAUUAGAGGAAGUUAGUUAUGAGAUUAAGGGUGAGGAUUGGACAGUUGUGGAAGUUAGAAUCAGUUGGGAAAUUCUGUUAUUUCUGUUUUUGAUGAGCUGGAAGUUAGUUACAAACUGUUAUGACAGUUAGUUAGGUUGGUUAGAAUAUGCUCUAGCAGUUGGUUUUUGUAUUGAAUUUCCUGCCUCAUUUUGCCAGUUGAAUAUGCACUGAUGCAGUAUAACUGCUCCUUUUGUAUCUGCUCUCUUUUUUUUAGUCCCAAUGAUUGAUUGCUUGAACCGUAUUUGAAUAGCCUUCUGAUUGUGGAAUUUUGGCUCUGAAUAUGAUAUGUAUUGCUUGGGUUUUGAAUCCAAUGGGAUGCUGAAUGAAGGGAUAUAUGUAUGGCUGUGUAUGUUCUUGGAACUGUUUUCCUUGGCUUUUUCUUUUGGAAUGAGUGUGAGUUGCGGGUCCUUUUAAUUUGCAGCAAAGUCGUGAUUUGAAUUGUGCAGGUUGUUCAGGAAUGCAUGAGUGACAGUAACAUGGACCAUGGCUGAUGAUUGUAUGGUGUAGACCUUUGGUACAUGGACAUAUAUUGGGUGAAUGCUUAUGUAUGUGUGAUAUGGGGAUGGUGUCGAUUAGUGCAAUGUUAUUUAAUGCAGCUUUUCUUUUCUGUUUUGUCUAAUGGUGCAGGUUUAGCACAUAGCAACUUGUAUAACACAUUUAUUCAACACUUGGAUGACAAUGGUUAUAUGAUGCAUUUAAUUCAAUUGAUACAAGGAGGUCAAAAUGAAGAUGAAUGAAGAGGCUUUGAAGAGAAUAAGAUAUAAGCCUUAGGAUUAAUGUAAAAUAAUAAUGAAGUGAUAAAAAUAUUGUUUGGUUUGGUUUUCAAAUGCAUAUGAAAGUUUUGAAUAUGUAAUGGAUUCUUGAGUUUGAAUUCUUUGUACUGUUGCCCUUCUACAUCAUGAUAUAAA